GAAAUGCGAUAAGUAAUGUGAAUUGCAGAAUUCCGUGAAUCAUCGAAUCUUUGAACGCAUAUUGCGCCCUCUGGCAUUCCGGGGGGGCAUGCCUGUCCGAGCGUCAUUACGCACCCUCAAGCCCGGCUUGUGUGAUGGGCCCUGGCGUCUCGUUCGCGAGACGGGCCCGAAAGGCAGCGGCGGCGUCGACCCGAUGAGCCCGAGCGUAUGGGGACUUUUGUCACACGUUUGCGGUGCGGACCGGCGCCUGCUUGACUUUUCUGAUUAUCCAGGUUGACCUCGGAUCAGGUAGGGAUACCCGCUGAACUUAAGC
rnacentral:misc_RNA from 1 species